rnacentral:rRNA from 1 species
GAUGAACGCUGGCGGCGUGCUUAACACAUGCAAGUCGAACGGAAAGGCUCCUGCUUGCAGGGGUACUCGAGUGGCGAACGGGUGAGUAACACGUGGGUGAUCUGCCCUGCACUUCGGGAUAAGCCUGGGAAACUGGGUCUAAUACCGGAUAGGGCGAUGGUUUGGAUGCCAUUGUGGAAAGUUUUUUCGGUGUGGGAUGAGCUCGCGGCCUAUCAGCUUGUUGGUGGGGUAAUGGCCUACCAAGGCGUCGACGGGUAGCCGGCCUGAGAGGGUGUACGGCGAAAUUGGGACUGAGAGACGGCCCAGACUCCUACGGGAGGCAGCAGUGGGGAAUAUUGCACAAUGGGCGCAAGCCUGAUGCAGCGACGCCGCGUGGGGGAUGACGGCCUUCGGGUUGUAAACUAAUUUCGCUAGGGACGAAGCGCAAGUGACGGUACCUGGAGAAGAAGCACCGGCUAACUACGUG